ensembl:lncRNA
AGGGGCCCUGGGACCGGGCCUGUAGCGUGUCUCAGACCAACUCAGAGCUGAGCGAUCAGGCGCAUCUGCUGGGGAAGUGGAGCUUAGCUUUUCUAGAAAAAUGGCAUCUUUCUGACCACCAAACAUGAGGCCCAGAUUUAGACCCUGGGACCCACCCGGAGAAGCCACCAGUAGGGUCCUGAGACAGCUGGACUCACUCUGGAGUCAGCGUGUAUUACCCACCCCUUUCAAGUGAGCAUCUCCAGCUGCCUUAUAAAUAUUAAUUAAAAGACGCAGCAUCGCAGAGGGGCUGGUGUAAUCAUCACCAUUCAACUGAAGAGGAGACGGAAGCCUCGCUGGCCUGGUGAGGAGACGGCCCUCCGGGAGCUGUCCAGACCACCGGACGACGGUCCGAAGCUCUCAAUCCAGGCUGGACAGGCGCCGAGCCUAUAACGUGCAUCGUGAGGCGUGUGCAGUUAUUACCCACGUUUACAGAUGGCAAGACCGAGAUCCAGAGUUUCUUUCCGGGUCAGAAAGUGUCAGAGGAGGGACUCAAAGGUUUUAGGAUUCCAAGGCUGCAGUGUCUUCACUGCUCCCGUGCCCGCUCCAGACAAUUCUUUACAUCUGCAUCCAGCUUCAUGGUUUACAAAGCACUUGAUAUUACAAAGCAUUGAAACACGCGUUACUUUAUUCACUCCGUACAAGAACUCGGCGAGGCAGGAAGUCCGGAGCUAACAAGCAAGCUCCACUUUACAGAUGAGGAAAUGGAGGCUCAGAGAGGAGGGAGUCACUUGCCUGUGUUCUUAGAGCGGCAACAGUUACUCACGUCUGCAUCAAUAUUUGUAGCUUGCAAAACGCUUUCUGGUUUUGGACGUUGCAGUAGCUCCAUGAGAAUCAGAAGGUCUAGCAACUCUGGGAGUCUCCACCUCGCAUGGUGCGAUGGCCAGAGUUAAGUAGCGGCCACCUCUACGGACAGAACGCCACUCUCCAGCUUGCCACAUCACCCAGGAACCCCGCUGCAGGUGUACAUUCCCAGGAACUCCCAAGGCACUUGAGAUUUUGAUCCACAGCAUGCAGACUUCACCAUGGCAAAGUCCGGCAUACCUAGACACUGCCGGUCCAUCUGAGCUUUCAACAGAUGCUGUUGAGUAAACAGGUGGCAGGUGGGGGCCUUGUGCCAUCUUUCCUGCGUCUCGCCUCCCUCCCCCAGGGCUCAGAGUCAGGCUCAGGGACCCGGUGAAGAUGACCAUUUGGUAACUUACUUGGUGAUUUUAAAAAGCUGACUUAAAACUUUGUCAAUAUACACUUGCCGCAAAAUGUUGUGCCCGCCACUGCCUUCCGUGGCUCACGGGGACGAUCAUUUCACUUUUCCGACCCUGUCUCCUCAUGCAUGUCACAGGGAUAAAUAACAUCCGCCUCGUGGGGCUGCUUGUGAGAAUGAAAUGCGACGGGCACUUGCAGUUCCCACCGGCACCUUCGCCAUAGUAGGUGCUUGACUAAGUACGCCGGGCCCUUCACCGUUCCCGCCCCACCCCCCCAACUUUCCCCUUUCAGUCGGAGCUGGAAGAAAGCGCGUCAAUCACGGGAUAAUUUAUGCAGCGUGAUAUGCCUUUAUUAUUCCACGCUGAGUCGGGGCUUCUACUGUCCAAUGAAGGUCAAAAGGAGGUAUGGCUUUUAUCUCUCCAGCAACUCUGGAAGCAUGGGGGGAGGGGGCGGACUCUCAGAGGCUUCCUCCUGAAAACAAACAGAUCCUCGCGGCGGCCCUGAAUAGCUUUCCUCAAUCAAAGCUGUAAAAGUCCGCGAGCAGCGGGGCCUCGCCCUGGGACUGGAGCGAACUAAUAAAGCGUUGAAUGGAGAGAGUGACCCCGAACUGGCAGAGGGGUCCCCGCUGGGCCUGGGCCCGCGCCUGCUGCCUCGCGGAGAAUCCAGAGGUCACGUGUCAUUAGUCAGUGUCUUACCGCGACCCUUUCAAAAUUAUCGAUAAAGGGGAAGGAGAUCCUUUCUGUUUCGAAUCCCCGAACGAUUUUCUUCUCUCUUUUCUUUCUUUUUUCACUGGUGGAAAGGCUACAUGGCAACAUCUUUUUCCUGUUUUCUUUCAGACGCGAGAAGAACUGGUUUGAAAUCAGGAGUUUCAUGCUUGGGGAGAAAUAAAGUUUGGGUGAAGGCCGCCUGGGACCUCUGUAAAGACAGGAGGGGGCGCUGGAUCUCAAACAGCUGGGAGCCUCCACAAUCGCCUGUUCUCCCCAUGACUCAGUUUCCUCAUCCGUACACAACGGGCAGCGUCCUGGGCCCAGUGGGAAGUGACCUGGAUGACCUCAUUAGGGUCUGAGGAGCACUUUAAAGAGAUAAUCGGCCAUUACUCUAAUGGGAACAAUGAUGAUGAUAUUAUUUCCUUUAUUGUUUACUCAGCCCCAGCAGUUUACAGCUGAGGCCAACAGGUGGUUGUGGUCGCGUUAAUCUUUAAUCCAUUAGCCACGAUCGAUUCCAUGACAUUCCUGGGUUUAUAGGUAGUCGUUAUAUUGCUUUUUAUUUGUUGUAUAUUUUGUGAAUUAAUUAAGGGCCGCAUCAUACCUCAUCUGAAAAUGCCUGUUGCAAAGGCAGUCUUGAUGCAUGUGCAUGUGCUCUUAGUCAAAAUGACCCUUCGGAGUUCCUUAAAUCAUUCGUAAAGCACUGUAUAUGGGAUUAUGUGUGUAUAACACUGUAUAGUAAUAAACAUAGAGAGACAUAACAAAAACAGUAAGGGGCAGAUUGGAAUAAAUCCUAUUGCUUUGGACAUCAGAUGAAGCACCUGGCUGGUGUUGAGAAGGACAUGUUUUAUGAAUAUUUUGUACCUUUAAACCCUAGAAUCCUGCUCCUCAAGGCAAGAUGCUCAGAGGUGCCCCCACCCUAUUUAAAUCUCUCAUGUUAAAAUAGAAUUUGAAUAAGUUAAAUGCUCUUGUAAUGUGACCUCCAGGGUAACUAUUUUUUCCCACGGGCUCAUCUGUGAGUAUUGGGUUAUUUUAACUCCGAAUAAAUGAAUAGACCCACAUCUCAUUUGUCUCAAAUGAGCAGCCAGUCAGUCCCUCAGUGUUUGGUGGACACUCUCCACGUCUCACUGGGCUGUAAUUGGCCUUUCUGUCCUCGAGAAUUUAGGAACCCAGCAGAGGCUCCGGCUGGCUUGACGUCAGGCCCCCCUUGAGCUUCCAGUCAUCCUCAGAGGAUCCCUAAACGAAGGUCCCCAGCCAAGCUGCAGGGACUCAGUCCUUGUCCUGCCCUUCCUGGGCUUCUCCUGGCCUGAGAAAUGGGGCCCAAUUGGGUUUGUCCUGCCCAGAAACAAGACCCUGGUUUAUCACGUUGGUUUAGCGCAUGGAAAUUUCAGGUGUACCUCGUUAGAUUUCGUCUUCUCUAUAGACUGCAUGGAGUUCGCCAUCAAAAGUCUAGUUUCCAUCCACCACCAUACACAUGUGCCCCUUUUUUCAUUUCUUAUAACGAUUGGUUUAUUUUUUGUUAUUGUUUUUGAUUCUAUGGAUUCUUUUUAUCAUUGAUAAUUAGCUUUCAUGAUGAUGAUUCUUUCCAUUUUUACCAGCCUGGAUUAUUUACUGUCAUACAGGAGUGUGACAUAAAGGAAUGAUUAUUAAUUGUCCCUGACAAUGUAAGCAUCAACUCAAAUGAUGGCAAUGAUCACAUCACCAGUCUUAUCUUUCCUGUUCAUGUGCAGCGGGGAAGUUACACAUUUAUUCAUUCCUUUAUCUGAAUUUGUUUUCCUCAAAUCGCAAAACAAGGGGCAUCAAGUUGUGACGUGUCUCAUUUGGCUCUGCUCAGACUUUUUAAGAGGACACAGUUGCCAAGAGUAGGGGCUGGUGUCACCCGCUCUGUGCCCUGGCUUUCUCCCCGUGUAGCAUGUGGGUGAUUACCGUCUGUAUUUCACGGGCCUGUUAGGAGGCUUAAAUGGGACCCUGUAAAGCUCUUAGUACAAAAUGGUUCACAAGUGAUGCCCAUGGUUAGACAAGAGGUGAUACUUGGGCCUCAGUUUCUUCAUUAAUAAAAUGGAUGUGUUAGGGCCUGCCCUGUGGCUGAGUGGUCAAUUCGAAGGGCUGGGCUUCGGCAGCCUGGGUUUUCGCUGGUUUGGAUCCCGGGCACGGACAUGGCACUGCUCAUCAGGCCAUGCUGAAGCAGCGUCCCACAUAGCACAGCCAGGAGGACCUGCAGCUUGAAUAUACAACUAUGUCCUGGAGGGCUUUGAGGAGAAGAAGAAAAAAAAAAGCACAAAAAAAGAUUGGCAACAGAUGUUAGUUCAGGUGCCAAAAAGAAAUAAAAUGGAAGUGCUGACCCUCCCUGCCUGAAUCCUGUGGGGAUUUGGGGCUACCGAGUGGCGGGUAAAGUGUCCAGCGUUUGGUCAGUGCUGCCUCACUGCUGACUCCCGUCUCCUUCCCACUUGUUCACCUUGAACCCCAGGGAGCUUCUGUGAGAGGGAAAACAUAGCUUAGCCUGGCCCAGGGCGGAGGCCCCGCCCCACGAGGAGCCCUGAAACCUCAACCUGGCCAACAGAGCCAGGAAUGGAGCCAUGAACACACGGGGCCCAUCCCCUUAGGAGCAGAGAAGGCAGCCGGGUUCUUUCUAAGCUUUCUGCUGGGGACUCACAUUUUGUUAGCAUGGAGAUAAAUAACGCCAGAUAAGAGGCCUCUGGUUUUACAUCUGGGGCUGUAGGAACGUCCUCUGGGAGAGGAGGCAGGACGUUUCUUGCCAGGGCGAAUCCCAGCCCGGGAGGAGGCAGGCGGCGCCGCCUGCGGCUUCCUAGCUCAGUGGGGAGCAAGUUUUGACAACAGCAAUGCUAAUUGAUUAAAUGUUCUCAUCAGAGAUUACAGUGCAGAGAGUGAUCACAUUUUUAUUUCUGCAGAGUGGGGAGGGGCUUCCCUUCCUUUAAUAGCUCCGUUUAUCCGUGUAUAUUGUAACCCAAUGUACAAGGGGCCCUGAUUCGUUAUUCCUGGACCCUCAGGCUCAGUCACUCUCAUCUUAGAUAACAUGUUUACUAUAAACUACUUGGUGCAAUUGCCUUUGGUUUUCUGGGUUUGGUCGGAAUUUGAUCCUGCAGUGGACAGAGCACCGGACUUCAGAGUUGUAGGAUCGAACCCUGGUCCUGCCACGUAGCCGGUGUGUGGGUUUGGGAAGGCACUUGCAUUCUCUGCGUGGGUCUCGCUUUUCUUAUCCGUAAAAUGGGGACUCGAUAUACCUAUUUCUUAAAAAACUACAGUGCAGGGGCCGGCCCCAUGGCCUAGUGGUUAAGUUCGUACACUCUGCUUCGGUGGCCCAGGGUUUUGCUGGUUGGGAUCCUGGGUGGGGACCUAGCACCGCUCAUCAAGCCAUGCUGAGGCAGCAUCCCACAUGCCACAACUAGAAUGACUCACGACUAAAAUAUACAACUAUGUACUGGGGGGCUUUGGGGAGAAGAAGGAAAAAAUGUAUACAGAGAGCAGGUUAAAAAAAAAGCCAUAAGCUUUCCUUAAAAAACAAACAAACAGGGGCCCGCCCAGUGGCACAGCGGUUAAAUUUGCAUGUUCUGCUUCAGCUUCUCUGGUUCAGAUCCUGUGUGCGGACCUAUGCACUGCUUAUCAAGCCAUGCUGUGGUAGGUGUCCCACAUAGAAAGUGGAGGAAGAUGGGCACAGAUGUUAGCUCAGGGACAGUCUUCCUCAGCAAAAAGAGGAGGAUUGGCAGCGGAUGUUAGCUCAUGGCUCAUCUGCCUCAAAAAAACCUCCAAACAAACAAAUAAAAGCCUUUGACAAAAGACACUGUGAAGGUGCUGGCCCCAUGGCUGAGUGGUUGAAGUUCUGUGUGCUCCGUUUGGCGGCCAGGGUUUGCAGGUUUGGAUCCCAAGUGCAGAUCUGCUCCACUCAUCAGCCAUGCUGUGGAGGCAUCCCACAUACAAAGUAGAGGAAGAUUGGCACAGAUGUUAGCUCAGGGCUAAUCUUCCUCAAGCAAAAAAAAAAAAAAAAAAAAAGAGAGAGAAUUGGCAAUGGAUGUUAGCUCAGGGUGAAACUUCCUCUCCCAAAAAAGAGACCAAUACACUGUGAAGACAAUGAAAAGGCAGCCAGAGGCUAGGAGAAAAUAGUUGCAAUACAUAUAUUUGACAUAGUAUUUGUAAUCAGAAUAUAUAAAGAAUUUUUUCAACUCAAUAAUAAGACAUCAAAUAGCCCAGUUAAAAAAUGAGCAAGAGUUGGACACUUCACCAAAGAACUUAUGCAAAUGGUCAGUAAGCACAAUACAAGAUGCUCAACACGAUUAAUCAUCAGAGAAUUGCAAAUUAAAACCAUAGUGAGAUACCACUCCACACCCAUUAGAAGGGCUAAAAUCAAAAACACCAACAACGCUUCUGCUGGCUAGGGCAGGAAUCAGUGGGAACCCACACGUGGCACUCGGAAAUGUAUGGGGGCCGGCCCAGUGGCACAGCGGUUAAGUGCACAUGUUCCUCUUUGGCAGCCCCGGGUUCAUUGGUUUGGAUCCCGGGAGCACUCAUGGCACCGUUUGUCAAGCCAUGCUGUGGCAGGCGUCCCACAUAUAAAGUAAAUGAAGAUGGGCACGGAUGUUAGCUGAGGGCCAGUCUUCCUCAGCAAAAAGAGGAGGAUUGGCAGCAGAUGUUAGCUCAGGGCUAAUCUUCCUAAAAAAAAAAAAAAAAAGGAAAUGUAUAAUGGUACAAACCUGAGAAAAGCAGUUUGGCAGUUUUUUAAAAAUAAAAUUAAACAUGUAUCUAUUAUAUGACACAGCAAUUCUACUCUCUACUCCUAAGUAUUUAUUCGGGAAAAAAAUGAAAAUGUGCACAUGAAUCUUGACAGCAGCUUUAUUCCUAAUAG